rnacentral:rRNA from 1 species
UACGUAGGGACCAAGCGUUGUUCGGAUUUACUGGGCGUAAAGGGCGCGUAGGCGGCGUGGUAAGUCACUUGUGAAAUCUCUGAGCUUAACUCAGAACGGCCAAGUGAUACUGCAGUGCUAGAGUGUGGAAGGGCAAUCGGAAUUCUUGGUGUAGCGGUGAAAUGCGUAGAUAUCAAGAGGAACACCGGUGGCGAAGGCGGAUCUCUGGGCCUUGCCUGACGCUGAGGCGCGAAAGCCAGGGGAGCGAACGGG